GGUUGGCUAGCUCAGUUGGUUAGAGCGUCGAGCUAAUAAAUCCAUCCGGAUGAAGUAACUCGAAGGUCGUGGGUUCGACCCCCCCGCUGACCA